rnacentral:lncRNA from 1 species
AUGAGGAGGUUUUUCAGGGUGGACAGAGAUGAAGAUUUCGGCCAGAUUCAGUAUCUCACCGCUAAAUGCAUCCGACUGUCUCAGGAGAAAGCAGUGCUGCAGCAGGAGCUGCUGGUGUCCGCUGAGCGUCAGCAGGCCCUGCAGGCUCAGAUGGAGGUUCUGGCGGUGUGUGUGCGUCAGAAAGAGCAGCUGAAUGUUGAGCUGAACAUCAAAUAUGAGCAACUUCAGGAGCGCUUCCAGCAGCAACUGAGGCAGGCAGAUGUCCUCCAGCAGUGUGUGUUGUCGGUGACGGAGGACAGGUGUAGGGAUGCGUCUCUUCUGGGUCUGCAGCUGGAGCAGGUGAGCUGUGACCUACAGCAGAUGCAGAGUUCAGAGGCGAAGCUGAUGGGCCUGGUGGACGAGCUGCACCAGGAGGCCCAGCUCAGAGCACAGCAGGCAGAGGUCCUGCAGGCGCAGCUCCACCAGGAGGCUCAGUCAAAGACGCAGACUAUAGAGGAGCUGGAGACGCAGCUGAACAGUAAAGCACGAGAGCUGGCGGAGCUGCAGAUUUCCCAUGAUGCCGUGCUGCAGGAUGUGUGUAUUCAGCGUGGCGCCCACCAGAGGACACUGGAGGAACUGCGGCGCACGGCGGAUCAGUGUGAGUGGGUGUGUGAGCAGCAGCGGCGCUGGAUGAGCUGCGUCAGGAGGUUUAAGGACUGUCUGUCAGGUGAGAAGGAGUCCCUGGAGCUGCAGGUGAACAGGUUACAGGUGGAGCUGGAGACGGUCAGGAGGAGCGAACACACUGAACACUGCAGCAGGUGGGAUGAGGAGCUGCAGACUGAAGCAGAGCGAUGGAGAACACUGUAUGAGGAUCUGCUGAAGCUCACCACACAGCAGGGCCAACAGGCAUCAGUUGGACACCUCAAACCCCCAUGAGGAUCGACACACACACACACAAACACACACACACACACACGCUCAGUUUUAAUGGGUAAAGUUUAGAAGGGAUACAGCUGCAGAUACUCGCAUCAUUCAUUCAUUUUCCUUCAGCUUAGUCCUUCAUUUAUCAGGGGUCGCCACAGCGAAAUGAGCCACCAACUACUCUGGCAUAUGUUUUACACAGUGGAUGCCCUUCCAGCUGCAACCCAGCACUGGGAGACACCCAUACACACUUAUAUACUAUGGCCAAUUUAGUUCAUCAAUUCCCCUAUCGCACCUGGAGGAAACCCAUGCCAACAUGGGGAGAACAUGCAAACUCCAAACAGGAACACCAACUGACCCAGCCGGGACUCAAACCAGCAACCUUCCAAGGCCACAAUGCUAACCACUGAGCCUACUUGCAUAAAUAUAGCAUCAUUUUUGUGACAUUGUACAACAAUUAUAUGUAUAUAUUUACAGUACUGUAAGGGUUGGGCUUAAGUUUGGGGUAGACCUUAAUAAAAUACUGUUUACUGGGUAAUUUAAUAAAUGAUACGAGUAUAUUACUGCUUUUACACUGUGAAGAUUGGGGUAGAUGUUAAUAAAAUGUAUUUAAUUCAAAUUUUAAGGGUAUUGUAAUACAUAAUCUAAACUAUAUGAUAACAAUAAUAUUAAUUCCUGCUUUUCUGGGCACUCAAAGCGCUUUACACACAUUGAGGGGAAUCUCCUCAUCCUCCACCAGUGUGCAGCAUCCACUUGGAUUAGGCGACGGCAGCCAUACUGCACCAGACUGCACACCAGCUGAUUGGUGGAGAGGAGACAGAGUGAUGAAGACAGUGAUGAUAUGGGGAUGGUCAGGAGGCCAUGAUGGACAGAGGACAGUGGGCAGAUUUGGCCAGGAUGCCAGGGUUAAACCCCUACUCUUUUUCCAAGGAUAUCCUGGGAUUUUUAACGAGCACAGAGAGUCGGGACCUCGGUUUAACAUCUCAUCCGAAAGACAGAAUGGUUCACUUGUAUCGCUUGUUGCAAAAAUGUUUUCAAUUAUUUUCUUAAAUUCAUGAAUGAAAAUAUACAAUUACAAUCAGGAGAUCAAUAUAAGAGAGAUACAAGAGAGGGAAAAUACAAGUGACAUUAACAGCAGGUAAUGUCACCUGUAAAUAAACAGGGGAAAAUAAACAGGGGGGCUAAUAAUUCUGACUUCAACUGUAAUAACAAAAAUCGGACACAUUUUUUGUUGUUGCACAUACAGAAGGAUUUAAGCAGUCAACUUCAAUCAGAAAAUGUGGAAAACAAAAAUUCCUAACAAAAUAAAAACGAUAAAGUCUUCAGAUUCAUGUGCAAAAUCUAUGUAAUAAUAAAUAAUUUAUUUUAAACUUAAAGAUAGGAGGAGUGUUUAAAUAAUAAUGCAAGUCAAACCAAAACUUCACACAUUCACACAUACAAAAUAAAAGUUUUACAGUUUCAUCAUCCUUACCACAAACUGGAGAACGACUCGGAAUAUCAACAUAUUUGUAAAUAAAUGAGAUUUUUAUUGCAGUAUUUUAAAAUGCCUUUAUUUUUAUUAGGAAGAAAGUAUUUAUAAGGCAACAACCAAGCUUUUCUCCAGUCUACAUUAUUAACUAAUGCAACCCAACAGAAUCUGCCUCACAGAACAAUACGAUGACUUUGCUGAGGAAUUAAAUGGAUCUGUUCAUUCAUUCAUUUCCUUUUCGAUUUAUUCCCUUAAUUAAUCAGGGGUCGCCACAGUGGAAUGAACCGCCAACUUAUCCAGCAUAUGUUUUACUCAGCGGAUGCCCUUCCAGCUGCAACCCAUUACUGGGAAACAUGCAUACAUUCUCAUUUACACACACACACACUCGUACACUACGGCCAGUUUAGUUGAUCAAUUCCCCUAAAGCGCAUGUGAUUGGACUGUGACCCAGCCGGGACUUGAAUCAGUGACCUUCUUGCUGAGAGGUGAUUGUGCUACCCACUGUGCCACCGUGAUGCAUAAAUGAUUAUGUUUAUUAUUUUAAUGUAUUGUAUAUGACUAUUGCCCAGAUGCAUUACACCAGUGGGGAUAUCUCUACGAACAGUAUUAGAAUCUCUGAAGUGAGUAGGAAAGUCACGAACAGUCAUAAAGCGUUCAUACCACAGUAAGUUCCCCAAAUCAUCAAGUACAGAAAAUAAUCACUUGUAACAGCAACUGCUGGCUGCUGGGAUUGACGUCAUUUUUGGAAGGCGCGUGCUGCUGGCUCUGACGUCACUCUCGGAACACGCGCGGGUUCUUUUAAACCGUCAUUUCUCUGUCGGAUUAUCAAACUUGCAUUCCAGUUUACUGCUGUUUGCACUGUUUCCCAGCGCGCGAUGGCGAAGACGAUUGCGAGAACUGCGAGGUCCAUCGCGGCCCAGAUAAACGAGUGCUGCUCCUACAUCCACAGCAAAUACCAGCAGCUGCAGGCCUUCCGCCGACAAGUCAAACGGAGGACCAGACCCAAGCACUGGGACUGGAUAGAAGACUUCGAGCUCGAGCACGAGCUGCGCUUCCCCACCCGCGGGCCCCGGAGCCUGCUGAAGCUGCGGAACCUGCAGCGCUUCCUGCGGGAAACCGAGCAGAACUGGUGGGACUUUCGGCCUCCGCGGGUGCCCGGGAGACCGCACCGCGUGUUGCGGAUAAACCUGCGGGACCGGCCGAUCAAAGCCCUGCUGAGCACCGAGCUUUUCCCUCCGAAGCCCGUAGACCGCACCGAGAGACACUACUGCCGGAAACUGCUGCUGAUGGAGCGGCCGCUGGAGAUCAGCUUACCGGCAGACGUACUGGAGGAGAUCCGUGCGCUGGAGCAUCUGGAGGAGGAGCAGGGGCUACCGCCACACCUGCACUGCUCAUCCGGUCAGGAGGACUAUUACUCCGCGGAUGAAGAGUGAACUUUAAUAAAGCAUGAAAACAUGUUCACAUGAGUUCAUGUGUCAGUCAUUUUCUUUUUAGCUUAGUCCCUUUAUUAAUCAAGGGUCACCACAGAGGAAUGAACCGCCAACUUAUCCAGCAUAUACUUUACGCAACGGAUGCCCUUCUAGCUGCAACCCAGUACUGGAAAACACCCACACACUCAUUUACACUCAUACACAGACAAUUUAGCUUACCCAAUUCCCUUUUAAUAUGUGUUUGUACUGCGGAGAAAACCCACACCAACACGGAGAACAUGCAAACUCCAUGUGGACUCAAACCAGCAACCUUCUUGCUGUGAGGUGAUUGGGCUACCCACUGCGCCACCAUGCUGCCCCUUCUAUAUGGUUAAAAUGUUCUUCAUUUAUUUACUUAUUGUCCUCCAUCCUUUAUUAGGAGUCACCACAGCGGAAUGAACUGCCAAAAUUCUGAAUAUUUUUCACUUUAGUUAAUAGUAAUAAUUAUAAUAAUAAUAGUAAUGUGUCCUCUGGUUCCUGAAGUGUACACAGUGUUAUCUGGG